GAUGAACGCUAGCUACAGGCUUAACACAUGCAAGUCGCGGGGCAGCAUGGGGGUUGCUUGCAAUCCCCGAUGGCGACCGGCGCACGGGUGAGUAACGCGUAUCCAACCUGCCCUUCACCACGGGAUAACCCGGCGAAAGUCGGACUAAUACCGUAUGUUGUCCAUUGACGGCAUCCGAUUUGGACGAAAGGCUUGGCGGUGAGGGAUGGGGAUGCGUCCGAUUAGCCAGACGGCGGGGUAACGGCCCACCGUGGCUACGAUCGGUAGGGGUUCUGAGAGGAAGGUCCCCCACACUGGAACUGAGACACGGUCCAGACUCCUACGGGAGGCAGCAGUGAGGAAUAUUGGUCAAUGGGCGUAAGCCUGAACCAGCCAAGUAGCGUGCAGGAUGACGGCCCUAUGGGUUGUAAACUGCUUUUAUGCGGGGAUAAAGUGGCCCACGUGUGGGUUUUUGCAGGUACCGCAUGAAUAAGGACCGGCUAAUUCCGUG
rnacentral:rRNA from 1 species